rnacentral:rRNA from 1 species
CUGACACAGGGAGGUAGUGACAAUAAAUAACAAUGCCGGGCCUUUUUAGGUCUGGCAAUUGGAAUGAGAACAAUUUAAAUCCCUUAUCGAGGAUCAAUUGGAGGGCAAGUCUGGUGCCAGCAGCCGCGGUAAUUCCAGCUCCAAUAGCGUAUAUUAAAGUUGUUGCAGUUAAAAAGCUCGUAGUUGGAUUUCUGGUGGGAGCGUUGGGUCGGCCCUAAGGGCUCGUACUCAAAUGUUUUCCGCCAUCCUUGGAGGGAUGUUGUCUGGCAUUAAGUUGUCGGGCUUCCGAUCUCCAUCGUUUACUGUGAAAAAAUUAGAGUGUUCAAAGCAGGCUUACGCCGUUGAAUACAUUAGCAUGGAAUAAUAAGAUAGGACCCUGGUACUAUUUUGUUGGUUUGCGUACCUAGGUAAUGAUUAAUAGGGACAGUUGGGGGUAUUCGUAUUCCGUUGUCAGAGGUGAAAUUCUUGGAUUUACGGAAGACGAACUACUGCGAAAGCAUUUACCAAGGAUGUUUUCAUU